CUUCCCUGCCUCCGAACUGCUGCUUCUGAUGUUCCCAGACCAGCGCCUCACUUCCCUGGUGACAGAGACCCCUUCUCCCCUUUUGGGAUGAUGUUACUGCUGAGAUGUCACGCUCCAGAGGCCCUGUGACUCAGUUCCUCCCACGGAACCUCCCUGUUUCCUGCAGGCGGCGCCUUCCCAGCAUUAAUGCUUGGUCUACCCAGAAUGUCCCAUCAAACUGGAGAUUGAUCAUGCGGUUUGCACAAGUGAGAUAAAUUCUGGAAUUUGGCUGCCGACGUUUUGAGCCAUUUAUCUUUGGAUUUUCAUAACAGCUAUCAUCCUGGUGUGACACGGAUAGACAAGACAGAGGAGGUGCUUCCCAAGAUAAAUCAGCCUAAAGGAAAUGAAUGCAAUAAUUUUAUCUUAUUGGAUCUAUUUACUAUACUGUCGGAGGAAUUUGGAAGCUGAGAAGAGGAACGGUCGAAGGGAGGAACAAGAUUUACAAUGUGGAUAUUCCUGCCACCUAAGCACUGUCACACCAGCAAAGUACACACAAGCUUCCCUGAGCAGACCAACCAACAGGGCAAGCGCCCGAAUCCUAAGCAGAUCUUCCACUCAGGGAAAGUUCAGCCAACCAGAACUCUCUCUCUCUCUUUUUUUUUUAAAUGAGAUUUUUGGACAAAGUCUCUGAAAGGCUGGAAUCAAAGCCAAUGCCCAUCCCUCAAAAAAAGUUAUGGGAGAGGAAAUACUGUGCUCCCCUAGAAUUCAGUUAACUGGAAGUUCUCCUGCUAACAAGCCCAAGCAAGCCUGUGGACAAGGUUCCUGUCGGGCUUCUGUCCACCCCUCCUCAAAGCAGCUCUUCUCCAAGCCCAGGCUUCUCUUGAGGAUGCCUUCUUAUCUGAUUAAACGGAAUAUUAUGUGAAAUAUUCAGCCACCCCGGCACUGGCUGUGUGGGUGUGCUGGAUAAAAUCUUCAUGAAAACGCCAUCACAGGUCAUUUGUUUAAUUUCAAUUCUGCACAAUGUAAAAAUAGAACGAGCUGCCGUGAAGGGUUGAGGCUUGACAGCUUCAAUGAGAAGGCUCCACCAGCACAAAAACCACGCCGUUCUGCCGGAUCGCCUGCUUGCUCCCUGUGCCAGAGGAGCAGGGGGAAGAGAAAAACCCUGAAAGUGAGAUCUGUGCUCGAGCCCAAAGCCAAGUGUUCUCCUAUCUAAAGAGCUCUAUUUUCACACACCCCAAAUGAGGCUUCAAUAAAUCAGAAGGACCCUCAUAAGAGCAUAUCUCUAUUCACGAUCCCAUUUCCUAAAACACCCACCCCACCUUUGCUGUAAGACUGUUUCCGCCCUCUUGCCUCUUACUGGCCAUGUUCCUCUGAGAGGCAGACGCACAAUGUGCAUCCACCAGAUACAAAGCAGA